GAGAGGACCCAGGGAGCUGGCGCAAGGGCUGGAGAGUGCUGCCCAUUACUGGCUCCGAGGAGGACGGCUGUGGAUGUGGUGAGGUGUGUGGCCCUGCAGAGUUUUGUAUCCCUCCUGCCCAAAGAUGUUGGAGACUGAGUGCUGAAACAGUGCCCCCAGGAGAUGGAGGAAACUAUCUGCAUGGCUAAGGAGUACCUGAACAACACACUUGGGGAGUAGAGCAGUGAGAUGGACAACCACUCUGAUGGAGAGGGGUACUCUGUAGACCAACAGAGAGAAGAAGAAGCAGGACAUGCAGAACCUAACGUUAACUGUGAGAAGAUUGGUCACAGGACCAUGGCCAGGGUUGUUUCGGAAGAGGAUAAAUGUGUCCAAAGUCUGCCAGUACAGUAGUUUCAAUAUAAAUGCCAGACAUCUGGAUGACAUUUACAGUGAGGAUAGGAGACUUGAUGGGGAAGAUGAUUUUGCUGAACAUGAGGACUGGGUUAAAGAGGAGAUAAAAUACAAUAGCCAGUCUGAGGUGAAGGUUGAGAUCGGGUCAGCCUCUGAGAUAGGACAGUCUGUUGACAUGGCUAGAAAUACUGAGAAGGUUGAGAGGGGUCAGCUAAGAAACAUAGCAAAUCAGAUGCCUGUCUCUGGGAGGGCCAAGAGAUGUGUAUCUGCCCAUCAUCUCCCCGUAAAGCCCGAAUACCGCUGAGGGAGACCCUCUCCUACCUGAAACGUAAAAACAAAAGAUCCCUCCUAUAGACCAAGCCACUGCUGUCCUGACUGUGGUAAGAACUACAAACAGGCUGACUUUGUCAGUAAACACAGUUGCAGUGCCUUCCCUAAAUUCCACUGUCCUGACUGUGACCAAACCUUUACUUCUCAGACAUGCCUGACCCACCACCGCAGAAUCAAUUAUACGGUUGUGGGCUGCCCUGAGUGUGGAAAGAAGUUCAGGGACAAGUAUAAUCAGAAAUGUUACGAGAACCCACACAGGUGAGACCCCUUAUACUUGUACAGACUGCGGGGACGUCUGUUUUCGUGUGAAAAAGCUGCAGGAGAAACAGCAACAUCCACACAGGAGAAAGGCCAUUCCGCUGCAGUGUGUGUGGGAGGGCUUCCAUCACAGCCGCAACCUGACAAAACACAAGCUUCCUCACUCCCAGGCGAAGCCCUUCCUCUGUACCCGCUGUGGAAAGAACUAUAAACUCAAUGACAAGAUGCUGAGGCAUCUGAGGACAGUGCACGAUGAAAGCAUGUUCCCUUGGAUGUGGUACAGAGGAAGGGCAUCUUCCCCUAACCCUGCCUUGUUAAUAAUGCUUACAUCUCAGAUCCUUCCAACUGCUUUAGUCCCAAACCAGCUAACUAAAUUACUCCAUAUGUUCAACAAUAAACAUUUAACAUCA